ensembl:lncRNA
UCCUGCCCUUGGCUGCCUGCUCAGCUAACAGCACUGGUCUUGUGACAUCCCGCUCAGAUGGCAGCACAUAUCCGUGUGUUUAAAAAAAUAUGUUAUCUUUACAGCAUUGCUCCAGUAAGAUGACACCCAGAAUACCAGGUACUGAAGAUAAGCAACAGAAGAACUAAAGAUUUGGAGCUGAAUGUGCAUAGAAGUACAUGCAUUCAAGUCCUGGGAUAACAACUUUUCCAAACCUCAUGAGAGCAGCGGUUUGGAGACACAGGACAAAUGCUCUUCCAAAGAGGUGGAGGAAGAGAAGAAAACCCUUCCCAUCUGCACUGAGAGCAUGGGAGCCAAGUUUCUGCCUGGAACGAUCUGAGGGGCUGAUGUACAGUUAUCCAGAAAUACAGCAUUUCAUCAUUUACUUCAAAGGACUACCACGGAAAGAGAGCAAAAGCAACUUACAUUUUCCAGUUCUGUUUUGGACUCAUGGCGUAACACCAGUGAAAUGGGAAAUAGCUAACGACUGCUUGUUCUGUUCUUCUAAAUUUUGCCAUUUUGUCUGCUCUCCCCAUUUCUCUUUAAGCACUUAUUUUUCUUCCUUCCCCCACGUUGCAAUUAAUGCUGAAAAACCUACAAGACUAGGGAAGUCUACUUUUUUAUAUAAAACUACUUUGUUUAGGUCUUAUAAUUCCUAGAAGGAAUUACCCAGGCACUCAAAUUAAAGUCAGGCCCACAUCAUACCUGCACCCUGAGUUUUAUCUGGCAGUGUUCAAGUAUUUUGAAAGUCAUGGGAAAUGAACAGACCUUGAAAAAAUAUGGAUAUCCCAAAUGUUGAUAUCAUUGCUGUAAACUUUUUCAUUGCUCUGGUAUUUGGAGUACUCUACACUGUUUAAUUUGGGCUAUUAACAUUCCAAAUGAAAGUAGCAAGAACUCCACCAUGAGUUUAUCUUUCUUUGAGUAAUCUUAACAUGCACCUAAGUCUCUGGUUAAGUUUCCAAGAACCCCAUGUCAUGGUUAUAUUUCACAAGCACAUUAUCUACCCUCUCUGCUUUAGCCAUUUUACUUACACUGCCUAAGUGGCCCCCCUGGAAGCACUCUCCAGUGACUAUGUAGGGAGCUUGGUCUUAUAAUUUUUCUCUUUUACAUCAGAGCAAAAUUAGAUCUUAGAGCAGACAAAACCAAAUUAUGCCAAUACGUCCAACAGCAUCAAGUUAGAGUUUUGAUCCUUUAAAUCUUAUUCAUGCAAGUAAAUCAUGGUCAUGGAGUGGAAAAGAAGAGAAGCUGUGUUAUUAAAGGUCACGGGACCAGGGCUUCAGAGUAUCUAUGGCUUUCAAAUUCCCAUGCUCAAGCUCUUCCCCCUGUUGCUAUAUUUCAGCCAAUUUCUAAGCAAUAUUUUCAGCAUAAUAAAAUCCUGAACUUCAAAGCAGGCUCUUUUUUUUUUUUUUAACAGAUGUAGCGAAAGCACAGUUACAAAAAUAAACAUCAACUAAUAAUGUAAUAAUGAUGGAAAGGGCAAGAUUCAAUAUAGUUCAAAGAGGUUCAGUUCAGCAUUACCUCUUUGCUACAAACCACGUAUAAAUACAUACACACAUGGAGGCACUAAUAAAAAUUGCUACACAGAAUAUACCCUUAGCUAUCCAGUCCCUCCACUUUAUUGCCUGCUUAUGCAGUAUAUGCAGUAAAGCCUCCUAGCAGUAAUUUAAUAAUUCAGUGAAUACUUACAAUAAAGAUACUGAAGAAUGGGAUUUGAAAGUCUUCUUUCUCAGCACCAACAGUUUCAGCUGACUUCACAUUCAAGCCUGACGCAUCAGAACAGUAGAGCAUAGGGAAAGUCUACAUUUUCUUGACUAUAAGCAAUUACUAGGCUGCUACUAUUGAAAUGCUAGGAUGACAGAACUACUUCAUAAGUGAGAAGCUGCAAAAUGUUGCUGAACAGUAGAAGUCUCGAGCUCAACCACCUGAUAUGCAUUUGAUGAAUGUUUUACUUUUCCUCAGUUUAUUGAAAUUAUCUUUCAACCUUUUUCCCC